rnacentral:rRNA from 1 species
UACGAAGGGUGCAAGCGUUAUUCGGAAUUACUGGGCGUAAAGGGUGCGUAGGCGGUUGUUUAAGUCUGUCGUGAAAUCCCCGGGCUCAACCUGGGAAUGGCGAUGGAUACUGGACAGCUAGAGUGUGUCAGAGGAUGGUGGAAUUCCCGGUGUAGCGGUGAAAUGCGUAGAGAUCGGGAGGAACAUCAGUGGCGAAGGCGGCCAUCUGGGACAACACUGACGCUGAAGCACGAAAGCGUGGGGAGCAAACAGG